AUCAUCCCCAUUAAAAGUCAGCAAACUUAGGCAGCUUCCUCAAGAGCUGCCCCUAACUCGAGGCAGAAUUAGAACUUCAGGUAUCUCUUACCCACUCAUAUCCAUAAUCAACACGUACCUCCUAACAGAGUGGACUCUGGUAAGAACCCAUGUUUUCCAGUCAUACGCCAUUCACUUCAGGCCCUUAGGAAGUCACUCUGUUAUGCUCACUGCUCUAUUCUGUCUUGACCUCCAGGACUCCUGAGCAUCAUUCAAGGAAUUCUCUGGUCUCUAAACCCAAGUCUAAAGGCAGCUGAUUUAUCUGAUUUAUCCCUGGGAGCCACACCCAGCACAGGGCCAAGCACAAACACAACAUCACAUGAACGAGGACAGUGAGUCACUUGGGAUAUGGAGAGACGCAAGAGGAUCAGAAGUUUGAGGCCACCCUCAGGAACACAGCAAGUCUGAGGGCAGCCCGAGCCACACACGCUUCUUACCAAGAAAGGAUGAAGCCAAUGUUCCCACUCUAUCCUAAAAUAGGCUGCCAAGCACACCCAAGAAUGUGUCCUGUGACCCCACACUAGAAGACCUUGACACUCAGUAUGAUCGCAUCACGAAGCCUGAUCUAUACCCAAGGGUGGGAACCGCAUCACUGUGGUCUCUACCCAUCAUGGAGACCCUCUCACUCACUCACUCGCCCACUCACUCACAGUGUGACCUUGGGAAGCCACUGAACUGAUCUAGUCUCUCUCCCAUAAAAUGGACUAAUGGUUGCAUCUCCCCCGAGAGCUUGGCAGAAGGGUUAAAAUUAAUAUGUACUGAAUGCUAUUGAUUAUAUAAAGUUAUUAUAUGUGAAGGACAUGUAACUGUGGCUGAUACUUGCUGGACACAAUGUAAAGAUUUAUUAGAUAAGUUAGUCAUGGCUUGGAUGUACACAAGAUGAAGCUAGAGGCUCAG
rnacentral:lncRNA from 1 species